CCCGCUGCCUCCCUCUCUGACUCUCUCUCCUCAAAUCCUCUGCGUUUCUCUCUUUCAAAUCGUCGGCGGUGGAGAACGGUUGUGGCGAAACUCGCCGCCUGCGAGCAAGGAGACAUCCUUGAUCUCUUUCUCUCUCCUCUUGAUCGAUACUCUCCUCCUCUCCCUCGCCUCAAAACCGUUUGCGACGACUACGACAAGAUCGAGAAUGAAUCGGCAACGACCAUGAAGGUGGCGCCGGUGAUUCGCCUUGUCGCAUCAGCCGUCGGAGAUGGGAGGAGAGCGGAAUGGAACGAAGCACUGAACGGCGGUGGCGGCUGAGAAAGCAAGGCAAGCAUCUGAGAAAUCAUACAAGGUGAAACCAGUAGAUAAGAGGGUUAACAAAGGUGUAGCAAAGGGUUAACAAAGGUGUAGCAGCUGCUAAUAGAGCAGCUAAUGCAGCACGAGUGGCAGCUGUGAAAGUUGUUCAGAUGAGAAUGCAGGCAGGAAAAUCUAAUCAACAGUAAAUCAUUGCUUCAAAGUGUAUGAUUUCAGGAGGAUCUCCUCCUUUUGGUUUCGGCGAUUCGGUGCGGCCUGGUGGUGGCAGCUCUGUCGCCGCCCAUGCUGAUGUUACCUAGUUCAUGUUGUUGGUUGUUUUUGUUGUUUCGUGUUGUUGAUGCAAUCUUUGAAGAGUAGUGUCAACUCCUGUUGCUUUGGUGGUGUUGUUAUUUGUUUUAGUUAUGAUUAAUUCAUUUUAGUUAUAUUCCCAAUAUGUAUUUGUAAAUUUAAAACAAUUUUAGUUAAGAAUAAUUUCAUCUUAGUUAAACUUUUGUUAUAUUUAGUUAUGAGAAACUUUUGUUUAUUGUUUCAG